rnacentral:rRNA from 1 species
UGAACGCUAGCGACAGGCUUAACACAUGCAAGUCGAGGGGUAACAGGGUAGCAAUACCGCUGACGACCGGCGCACGGGUGAGUAACGCGUAUGCAACCUGCCUAUAACUGGGGAAUAGCUCCCUGAAAGGGGAAUUAACACCGCAUAAUACUAUUGAUUCGCAUGGAUUAGUAGUUAAAUGUAGCGAUACAGGUUAUAGAUGGGCAUGCGUGACAUUAGCUAGUUGGUGAGGUAACGGCUCACCAAGGCUACGAUGUCUAGGGGUUCUGAGAGGAAGGUCCCCCCACACUGGUACUGAGACACGGACCAGACUCCUACGGGAGGCAGCAGUGAGGAAUAUUGGUCGAUGGGCGCAAGCCUGAACCAGCCAUGUCGCGUGCAGGAAGACUGCCCUAUGGGUUGUAAACUGCUUUUAUAGUAGAAGAAACACAUCUACGUGUAGAUGUCUGCCAGUAUACUAUGAAUAAGCAUCGGCUAACUCCGUGCCAGCAGCCGC